UCCCUCUUCACUUUUUCCCCUUCGCUUCCUCUGUAACUCUCCGGCGGCGAUAUAAUCCUUGAACAUGAACAUGAUCGUGAUCCUUUUCUUCGUCUCUGUUUUCUCUGUUUAUGAGUUCUGUUAUUGUUUCUGUUGGUCUGAUCUUGAUACUUUGGUUUUGUAGUAUAAUUCGGGUUCCGUAAAACUGAUCACAAAUAUUCUUAAAAGCGUCUACACAAGUCUACACAAAUCACAUUGGUGGUUAAGCCUCUUGGAUCUGCUCUGAGCUUGGGUAUAGAUGAUCAGAAAACAAUAACAAUGAGGAAAAAAGAGCUCGCUGAUUAGGAAUACAUUCCAGAACCAUUUAUUCCAGAAGUGAUACUCUUAGAAGCUUCUUUACCAAAGCUUCCUCAAGCAAACCGCAGGAGUUACGAGGCCAUGGGUCUAGGCACUCAACAUGUAUUUUUCCUGCAAAGUGAUGUCAAUUUAUAGGCAAGGGUGCUGAAGUGAAGUUCUAAGGAGUGAUAUCGUUCAGUCAAUGAUGUUAAACUUACUUCUUAAGAGUUGCUGAGCUGAUACCUGCAAGCAAAGAUGGAACCAUUAGCAGAAAUAGUGGUCACAAGUCAGAUUUACUUAAUUUUAGCCUAGAGAUGUCAUCAUUUUCGUUUUGGACCAAUGCUCUUUAUUCUAUUAUCCCAGAUAUUGUUUGAACUCUCGGCCAAAGCUGUAACUUCCCAAGGAAUGAUAAAAUAAAAAGACUUGGU